GGCACCGCCGGCUCUCUCCGCUGUUCCCGCCUGGGUCCCGAGACGUGGUUUCUGAACCCCGGCAUCAUCCCGUCUAGCGAAAUACCAAAGUGUUCAACCACGUGGCCAAGCGGCCACCCGAGGAAAGGAUUUUCAAUAAUACCACACGUGCUUAUUUCCUUUAAGUAGAAUGAAAAAAGGCAUAGAAGCUGGAACAUUCGAAGUAGAAGGAGGCCAUCACUGGGACUGAAGGGGGAGGCAGUGUUGCUCUUCCCCAAGGUACUCACUUGGUGCUCUGCUCCAUCAUUUCUCUGUGUCUUUGCUUACAUUCUCCAUUUGCCUGGAAAGUUCAUUCCCUUCUGUCUCCAUUUUAAUGACUGUGGCAGGUGGAAUCCUAAAAAUGGCUCCCAAGAUUCCAGUGCUCUAAUCCCCAGAACCUAUUGAUAUGAUGAAUUAUCACUCCCAUGACUGUGCUUUGUCAUAUGGCACAGUUAACUUUGGUAGGUUUAUCUGGGUAGAUCUGAGCUAAUCACAUGAGCCCUUUUAAAAGCAGACUUUUCUGGUAGCCGAAGGGGAAGUCAUGGAUUUGAAGCAUGAGGGGAAUUUGACACAUCAUUGCUGGCUUAAAGAUGGAGAAGGCCACAUGCCAAGGAAUAUGGACAGCUUUGGGGAGCUGAAAGUAAUCCCAGCUGACAUCCAGCAAGGAAAUGGGGACCUCAGACCUACUGCUGCAAGGAACUGCAUUUGACCAACAACCUGAAGGAGUAUGGAAGCAGAUUCUUCCCUAGAACUUCUGGAUAAGAGCCCAGCUUGCCAACACCUUGAUUUUGGCGAGACCUUUGUGAGACCCUAAAGGGAGAACCCAGUUGAGCCCAACUAAGACUUCUGAUCUACCAAUCUGUGAGAUAAAUGUGGGUGUUGCUUUAAGUUGCUGACUUGUGGUAAUUUAUUACAGCAACAAUAGAAAAUGAAUCCGAAGACAUAGAGGGUUGUCAAACAUUGUAGAUAUUACUUUUAACCAACUUGCUGGGCUUGAUAGAUUCCAUGUUUAAGAAUUGCUUACCAAAGCCCUCGGCAGGCAGCCUGAACACUUCUGCUGCUGGCAACUGGAAGAUACUCCUGUCCUCUUCUGCUGCUGCUGGGUGAGUCAUCUGCUCCCAAACCUCCUGACAGGUAGUUGUACUGGUUAUCAUACUUACACGUUUAUAUGUGUUUAAGUAUUAUGUCAACUGGGAUGUAAGAGUGAACAUGAAAAGCGUCCAUCUUUCUACCAAGAUAAAAUUCAAUGCUUUGUAAUGACUGGAUAAAUGGGAAGUCCCUAAAAAAUGCUAUGGAAUUAGGUGGAUGAGGUAACUGGAAGACCAGAAAAGAACUGUGAAGUUCUAGAAGGUUUCUCUAAAUUCUUUGUCCCGGGUAAAGAGUUUGAAACUAGGAAUUGUCCCUAAUGCUUUAGGAGGAUGGCUUAUGUAAGAAUGCUGGUGAGGGGGGCGCCUGGGUGGCUCAGUUGGUUAA